GACGAACGCUGGCGGCGUGCUUAACACAUGCAAGUCGAACGAAGUGGCGUACGGGUGAGUAACGCGUAAUCAACCUGCCCUUCAGAGGGGGACAACAGUUGGAAACGACUCCUAAUACCCCAUACUGAAGGAGGGGAUUGCGUCUGAUUAGCUAGUUGGAGGGGUAACGGCCCACCAAGGCGAUGAUCAGUAGCCGGUCUGGGAGGAUGGACGGCCACAUUGGGACUGAGACGCGGCCCAGACUCCUACGGGAGGCAGCAGUGGGGAAACUUCCGCAAUGGACGAAAGUCUGACGGAGCAAAGCCGCGUGAGUGAUGACGGCCUUCGGGUUGUAAAGCUCUGUUAAUCGAGGCGCGGUACCGGAAUAGAAAGCCACGGCUAACUACGUGCCAGCAGCCGCGGUAAUAC
rnacentral:rRNA from 1 species